AGCAGUGAGUAGGAGGGAGGUUCCUAUGUGGCAGCAGUGUGUAGGAGGGAGGUUCCUAUGUAGCAGCAGUGUGUAGGAGGGAGGUUCCUAUGUAGCAGCAGUGUGUAGGAGGGAGGUUCCUAUGUAGCAGCAGUGUGUAGGAGGGAGGUUCCUAUGUAGCAGCAGUGUGUAGGAGGGAGGUUCCUAGAGGUUCCUAUGUAGCAGCAGUGUGUAGGAGGGAGGUUCCUAUGUAGCAGCAGUGUGGAGGAGGGAGGUUCCUAUGUAGCAGCAGUGUGUAGGAGGGAGGUUCCUAUGUGGCAGCAGUGUGGAGGAGGGAGGUUCCUAUGUAGCAGCAGUGUGUAGGAGGGAGGUUCCUAUGUAGCAGCAGUGUGUAGGAGGGAGGUUCCUAUGUGGCAGCAGUGUGUAGGAGGGAGGUUCCUAUGUAGCAGCAGUGUGUAGGAGGGAGGUUCCUAUGUAGCAGCAGUGUGUAGGAGGGAGGUUCCUAUGUAGCAGCAGUGUGUAGGAGGAAGGUUCCUAUGUGGCAGCAGUGUGUAGGAGGGAGGUUCCUAUGUAGCAGCAGUGUGUAGGAGGGAGGUUCCUAUGUAGCAGCAGUGUGUAGGAGGGAGGUUCCUAUGUAGCAGCAGUGUGUAGGAGGGAGGUUCCUAUGUAGCAGCAGUGUGUAGGAGGGAGGUUCCUAUGUGGCAGCAGUGUGUAGGAGGGAGGUUCCUAUGUAGCAGCAGUGUGUAGGAGGGAGGUUCCUAUGUGGCAGCAGUGUGGAGGAGGGAGGUUCCUAUGUAGCAGCAGUGUGUAGGAGGGAGGUUCCUAUGUGGCAGCAGUGUGUAGGAGGGAGGUUCCUAUGUAGCAGCAGUGUGGAGGAGGGAGGUUCCUGUGUAGCAGCAGUGUGUAGGAGGGAGGUUCCUAUGUAGCAGCAGUGUGUAGGAGGGAGGUUCCUAUGUAGCAGCAGUGUGUAGAAGGGAGGUUCCUAGGUGUGAGAAGUGUGCAAGAGAAUGAGACAAAGGAAUGUGUAGCAUUGCGGAAAGUAGUGGUAUGUGUUAAU